UCCCGGAUAGCUCAGUCGGUAGAACGUCAGACUUUUAAUCUGAGUUCAGGGUUCAGGGUUCAAGUCCCUGUUCGGGCG